rnacentral:rRNA from 1 species
GUGUCAGCAGCCGCGGUAAUACGUAGGGUGCAAGCGUUAAUCGGAAUUACUGGGCGUAAAGCGUGCGCAGGCGGUUGUGUAAGUCUGAUGUGAAAGCCCCGGGCUCAACCUGGGAACGGCAUUGGAGACUGCACAGCUAGAGUGCGUCAGAGGGGGGUAGAAUUCCACGUGUAGCAGUGAAAUGCGUAGAGAUGUGGAGGAAUACCGAUGGCGAAGGCAGCCCCCUGGGAUGACACUGACGCUCAUGCACGAAAGCGUGGGGAGCAAACAGGAUUAGAUACCCUGGUAGUCCACGCCCUAAACGAUGUCAAUUAGCUGUUGGGGGUUUGAAUCCUUGGUAGCGUAGCUAACGCGUGAAAUUGACCGCCUGGGGAGUACGGCCGCAAGGUUAAA